CCUAUCCACUCUCCAUAUCUAUGCAGGUGACCAAAGUAGCAGUAGUAGUAAGUAAUAGGAAGAUUAAAAAAGUUACAAACACAGAAGGAUUUAACCAACCUCCUCACUGUCACAGCCAUCAACGUCAUUGUCAAAUUUGACACCACAAGUCACAUCGCAACAUCAUCGCAAAGAAACACUAUGGCGAAAUCAGUUGGACAAAGUUAUACGAAAUUUAAGGAGAAAUGCUGGUGACUGCACUGCCAAUGGAUGGAGUGAUCUGUCCUCGGUCGAUGGGCUGGUGUUUACAUGUGUUUCUGUAUUUGCGCGCCACGUUUAUGUUGCUUCCCUUCUAUAUUUCUACCGUGCUUGUCUUGCCUCCCGCUUUGUAUCAAAGGUUUGAAAUGCUGUCAGUGUUUAGUAGUUCACUUGGACGAUGACUUCGACCAGCAUCCAGUGAAGCCCAAAAAGAAUGACACGAAAGAUUUGGACCCUCCCCAGAAACUAUAAUUACAAUAUCUUUUAUUUACAA